UGAUGGACUAUCCCUUAGAUUUCUGCAAAAAACUUGUAUUCGAAAUUCUUAAUAUUUUAUAUUUUUUUAAAUAAUAAUAUAUUAAUAAAAAUAAUAAUAUUUUAUGAUUACGAAAACGGGCCGGAUUAUUAACGGAUCGGAUCGACCUAAAUUCGUAUUUGAUCCGUUAAAUAAACGGGUUAAUGGAUUUGGAUCAUUAACGGAUAACGGAUCAAAAUUUUUGAUCCAAACCCAUCCAAUAGCCACGGAUCUGGAGCGGGUCCAAAUCAAAAUCCGGUCCAUUUACAGGUCUACCUACAUGAAUUUGAAUAACAUCCAGAUGCUUACUGGAUCAAACUUUAAGGUAGGGGUGGGCAAAAAACCAAUUUGGACUAAAAAACCGGCCGAACCAGACCGGAAUUCCGGUUCGGUAACCGAACCGCUUGCAAAAAACACUGAAAACUGCAUUUACCGAACCGAACCUGAUCUUUUCGGUUCUGACCCGGUUUUGUCACUUAAACCGACCGGAGAAAACCGAACCGCCCGGAUUAAAAAUAUAUGUAUAUUUUUUUAAUGUGCUGUCGAAUUUUUAGUGGGUAAGGCUUAUUUCGGGUGCACCUUACCACACACGAUCUUAACACCUAUAUAAAAGCUAACAACCCUAGAAGCUUUUCUCAUUUCCUCACCUCAUCCCUCUCUCUAGCGGUCUCAGCCGCUUCUCUCUCACGUCUCAAACUCUCAGCCCUCUCUCACCCUUUUCUCUCGCACCCUCUUCUAUCUCACGCUGUCAACAUGAGGUCCACCGCGUCCACUACGUCAUCCACCGCAGCCUCUCGUAUCCAAAGAGAAUUAAUAAAACCUUUGGCAAGAAAUAUAUAGGCGAUGGUGAUGUUAACCUACAGAUUCCAAAUGGGAGCACUUGGCCAGAUCAAAUGAUUUAUUGUUUAUAAUAGUCUGCAAAUUUGGGCUAAUAAGCUCAGAAAAUAAUAAUCGGCAAAUCUGAGCUAUUAAGCUGAGAAAAUACCAAUUCAUGAAUCUCACGAGUUAGUUCAUGAAUUUUACUUUGGGACAAAAAAGAAAAUACCAAUGUUAGAAAACUGGUAUAGUAUUUGUUUGUUCUUUUAAUACUUUUGCUAAAUACAAAAUUGGGCUUGAAAAUGGCUUGAAAUUGGGCAAAAAAGCAGGUAAAACCGUAAAACGUAAAGACGUAAAACUUGGGCCUUCAAAUUGGUCCAAAAAUGAAGGCAACUUAAAAGGAAAAAUGGGCCAAAAUUGAAAGUUCGGCCCAACCGGAAACUGAACCGGGCGGACCCGAAAAUUUAGCCCAACCGAAUACUCGGCCCACUCAUUUGUUAUUCGGUUGUCGGUUUGAAAUUGGGCCCAACCGACUACUUCGGGUCGGAAACGGUUUGGGCUUCAAACCGAACUGGCCCGACAUAUGCCCAGCCCUACUUUAAGGCCUGGAGGAGUGGUGUAGAGUUCUAUCUCAUGAUGCAUGAAAAUAUGGACUUAUGUUUUACUGAUGUCAAUAGCUCACCUGAUGGAAAGAAAUAUUAUCGAGAUUGGCAUAGAGCAAAUUAUAGAGCUAAGAAUGUGAUGAGGACUACCAUGAUUGAUACUGUGAGGGGUAGCAUAGAUGAACCAGCCUUAGCAGUUGACUAUAUGGAUGCCAUACCCGAGAAAUUCAAAGAGAGCAAUAAGGCUGAGGCAGCAAGGUUCUCUAAAGAGAUGAAUGAGCUAAAAUAUACUGGUAAUGGAGGAGUUAGGCAACACAUUUUGAAGCUCACUGAGUUAAAUGCUAGACUCAGGGAUCUCGAUAUGGGAGUUAAGGAUGACCAACUUGUUCACAAUGCCUUAGAUUCUCUGCCACCUAGCUUCAAUACCUUGAGAACUAGCUACAAUGCACAGAAGGAGAACUGGACCUUGAAUGAGUUAAUAGCUAUUUGCGUGGAUGAGGAGAGUAGAAUGAAGAAAGAGAAGCAGCCCUCCACCUCUGUCAACUUAGUUGAGAAGCCAAAGAAACAGAACAAGCUCAAGCCUAAGAAAAUACUGCAGUAGCUAAAGUCAACAAGCCAUUUAAGUUCAAGUACUACUUUUGCAAGAAGGUAGGACACAUGAAGAAGGACUGUGCAGGUUUUAAGGCAUGGCUUGUGAAAAAGGGGAUUCAUAAGGAAGUGGAAGCCAAGAAGUGAUGAAGCUAACAUCUGCGUUGGGAAUGCAUGGAAUGAAGGUUGCAGUCAAGGCAGUAGGAUCUUAAAACUAGAUUUGGGAUUAGGAAAUUUUAUGGUUUUAGAUAGUGUUUAUUAUAUUCCCUCAAUUAAGAGGAAUUCGCUUUCAGUUAGUCUUUUG